UACGGGGGGGGUAAGCGUUGUUCGGAAUUACUGGGCGUAAAGGGCUCGUAGGCGGCCAACUAAGUCGAACGUGAAAUCCCCAGGCUCAACCUGGGAACUGCGUCCGAUACUGGCAGGCUUGAAUCCGGGAGAGGGAUGUGGAAUUCCAGGUGUAGCGGUGAAAUGCGUAGAUAUCUGGAGGAACACCGGUGGCGAAGGCGGCAUCCUGGACCGGUAUUGACGCUGAGGCGCGAAAGCUAGGGGAGCAAACGGG
rnacentral:rRNA from 1 species